rnacentral:rRNA from 1 species
AUUGAACGCUGGCGGCAUGCCUUACACAUGCAAGUCGAACGGCAGCACGGGAGCAAUCCUGGUGGCGAGUGGCGAACGGGUGAGUAAUAUAUCGGAACGUGCCAGUCGUGGGGGAUAACGUAGCGAAAGCUACGCUAAUACCGCAUACGAUCUAUGGAUGAAAGCGGGGGAUCGCAAGACCUCGCGCGAUUGGAGCGGCCGAUAUCAGAUUAGGUAGUUGGUGAGGUAAAGGCUCACCAAGCCGACGAUCUGUAGCUGGUCUGAGAGGACGACCAGGCACACUGGGGCUGAGACACGGCCGAGACUCCUACGGGAGGCAGCAGUGGGGAAUUUUGGACAAUGGGCGCAAGCCUGAUCCAGCAAUGCCGCGCGCAGGAUGAAGGCCUUCGGGUUGUAAACUGCUUUUGUACGGAGCGAAACGGCUUCCACUAAUACUGGGGGCUAAUGACGGUACCGUAAGAAUAAGCACCGGCUAACUACGUGCCAGCCGCCGCUGUAAAAC